GGCAGCAGUGAGGAAUAUUGGACAAUGGGCGCAAGCCUGAUCCAGCCAUGCCGCGUGCAGGAUGACGGUCCUAUGGAUUGUAAACUGCUUUUGUACAGGAAGAAACACUCCCUCGUGAGGGAGCUUGACGGUACUGUAAGAAUAAGGAUCGGCUAACUCCGUGCCAGCAGCCGCGGUAAUACGGAGGAUCCAAGCGUUAUCCGGAAUCAUUGGGUUUAAAGGGUCCGUAGGCGG
rnacentral:rRNA from 1 species